GACCUGCACAGGUGCUGCAUGGCUGUCGUCAGCUCGUGUCGUGAGAUGUUGGGUUAAGUCCCGCAACGAGCGCAACCCUUAUCCCUAGUUGCCAUCAGGUAAAGCUGGGAACUCUGGGGAGACUGCCGGUGAUAAACCGGAGGAAGGCGGGGAUGACGUCAAGUCCUCAUGGCCCUUACAUCCCGGGCUACACACGUGCUACAAUGGCAGGUACAGAGGGCUGCGAAGCCGCGAGGUGGAGCGAAUCCCAGAAAACCUGUCUCAGUCCGGAUUGAAGUCUGCAACUCGACUUCAUGAAGGCGGAAUCGCUAGUAACCGCGAAUCAGCAGGUCGCGGUGAAUACGUUCCCGGGCCUU
rnacentral:rRNA from 1 species